rnacentral:rRNA from 1 species
AACGCUGGCGGCGUGCCUAAUACAUGCAAGUCGAACGGCUUUUCUAUGGAAGCUUGCUUCCACUGAGAAGAUAGUGGCGAACGGGUGAGUAACACGUGGGUAACCUGCCCAUAAGAGGGGGAUAACAUCCGGAAACGGGUGCUAAUACCGCAUAGUUUUCUGAUCGCAUGAUUGAGAAAGGAAAGACGGCCUUUGUGCUGUCGCUUAUGGAUGGACCCGCGGCGUAUUAGUUAGUUGGUGAGGUAACGGCUCACCAAGACGAUGAUACGUAGCCGACCUGAGAGGGUGAUCGGCCACAUUGGGACUGAGACACGGCCCAAACUCCUACGGGAGGCAGCAGUAGGGAAUCUUCCGCAAUGGACGAAAGUCUGACGGAGCAACGCCGCGUGAGUGAAGAAAAGGUUUUCGGAUCGUAAAACUCUGUUGUCAGAGAAGAACAAGUUGGAGAGUAACUGCUCCAGCCUUGACGGUAUCUGACCAGAAAGCCACGGCUAACUACGUGCCAGCAGCCGC